rnacentral:rRNA from 1 species
GAUGAACGCUGGCGGCGUGCCUAAUACAUGCAAGUCGAGCGAAUGGAUUAAGAGCUUGCUCUUAUGAAGUUAGCGGCGGACGGGUGAGUAACACGUGGGUAACCUGCCCAUAAGACUGGGAUAACUCCGGGAAACCGGGGCUAAUACCGGAUAACAUUUUGAACCGCAUGGUUCGAAAUUGAAAGGCGGCUUCGGCUGCCACUUAUGGAUGGACCUGCGGCGCAUUGGCUAGUUGGGGAGGUAACGGCUCACAAAGGCAACGAUGCGUAGCCGACCUGAGAGGGUGAUCGGCCACACUGAGACUGAGACACGGCCCAGACUCCUACGGGAGGCAGCAGUAGGGAAUCUUCCGCAAUGGACGAAAGUCUGACGGAGCAACGCCGCGUGAGUGAUGAAGGCUUUCGGGUCGUAAAACUCUGUUGUUAGGGAAGAACAAGUGCUAGUUGAAUAAGCUGGCACCUUGACGGUACCUAACCAGAAAGCCACGGCUAACUACGUGCCAGCCGCCGCAGUAA